AGAGAGAGACAUGCGCGCAUAUCAAUAAGCGGAGGAAAAGAAACUAACAAGGAUUCCCUUAGUAACGGCGAGUGAAGCGGGAAGAGCUCAAAUUUGAAAUCUUCAAGGUUUUACCUUGACGAAUUGUAGUUUAAAGAAGUGUUUUCUGCUGAAGUUUUGGUAAAAGUUCUUUGGAAUAGGACAUCAUAGAGGGUGAGAAUCCCGUAUUUGACCAUUAUUUUCAGCUUUGUGAUACACUUUCAAAGAGUCGGAUUGUUUGGGAAUGCAGUCCAAAAUGGGUGGUAAAUUUCAUCUAAAGCUAAAUAUUGGCGAAGAGACCGAUAGCGAACAAGUACCGUGAGGGAAAGAUGAAAAGAACUUUGAAAAGAGAGUUAAACAGUACGUGAAAUUGUCAAAAGGGAAGCGUUUGACACCAGUGUUGUUUUCUCGAAAAUCAAUUAAAAAUGGCUCGAUUUUGUAUUGCUUGAGACCUUAAAAGCUCACUGUACAUUUUUCGUGUCUUUUUUAAUGCACUUUUCGUUUAACAAGUCAACAUCAGUUUCUUUUGUUGUAAAAGGGUCAUUGGAAGGUGGCUUUCUUUUCGGAGAAAGUGUUUAUAGCCUUUGGCCUCUGCAAUCGAAGAGACUGAGGUCUGCAGCGUAGACUCUUCGGGGUUAGAUACAUUUGUGCUAAGUUAUAGCUUUUUAUAGACAACUUGUUGACUAUAAUUAGUCUUGUAGCUUACUCGCUUAUGCUAUUUUACCUACGCUUAGGAUGUUGAAGAUGUAGCACAUCAU
rnacentral:rRNA from 1 species